GGGGCCUUAGCUCAGUCGGUAGAGCACUGCCUUUGCAAGGCAGAUGUCAGGGGUUCGAUUCCCCUAGGCUCCACAA
rnacentral:tRNA from 5 species